CCUACGGGGUGCUGCAGUGAGGAAUAUUGGUCAAUGGGCUUACGCCUGAACCAGCCAAGUCGCGUGAGGGAAGACUGCCCUAUGGGUUGUAAACCUCUUUUGUCAGGGAGCAAUUGGCGCUACGUGUAGCGUUAUCGAGAGUACCUGAAGAAAAAGCAUCGGCUAACUCCGUGCCAGCAGCCGCGGUAAUACGGAGGAUGCGAGCGUUAUCCGGAUUUAUUGGGUUUAAAGGGUGCGUAGGCGGAAUGCCAAGUCAGCGGUAAAAUCGCGGGGCUCAACCUCGCUCCGCCGUUGAAACUGGCGGUCUUGAGUGGGCGAGAAGUAUGCGGAAUGCGUGGUGUAGCGGUGAAAUGCAUAGAUAUCACGCAGAACUCCGAUUGCGAAGGCAGCAUACCGGCGCCCAACUGACGCUGAAGCACGAAAGCGUGGGUAUCGAACAGGAUUAGAUACCCUUGUAGUC
rnacentral:rRNA from 1 species